AGCAGCCGCGGUAAUUCCAGCUCCAAUAGCGUAUAUUAAAGUUGUUGCAGUUAAAAAGCUCGUAGUUGAAUUUCGGGAUUAGUACGCUGGUCAUGCCUUUGGUAUGUACUGGUGUUACUGGUUUCUACCUUCUGAAGAACCGUUAUGUCAUUUAUUUGGUGUGGCGGGAAAAUCAGGACUGUUACUUUGAAAAAAUUAGAGUGUUUAAAGCAGGCUCGCGCUUGAAUACAUUAGCAUGGAAUAAUGAAAUAGGACGUUUGACCCUAUUUUGUUGGUUUCUAGGAUCGACGUAAUGAUUAAUAGGGAUAGUUGGGGGCAUUAGUAUUCAAUUGUCAGAGGUGAAAUUCUUGGGUUUAUUGAAGACUAACUACUGCGAAAGCAUUUGCCAAGGAUGUUUUCAUUAAUCAAGAACGAAAGUUAGGGGAUCGAAGACGAUCAGAUACCGUCGUAGUCUUAACCAUAAACUAUGCCGACUAGGGAUCGGAUGAUGUUAUUUUUAAUGACUCAUUCGGCGCCUUAC
rnacentral:rRNA from 1 species